GGUUAAUGAGGCGAACCGGGGGAACUGAAACAUCUAAGUACCCCGAGGAAAAGAAAUCAACCGAGAUUCCCCCAGUAGCGGCGAGCGAACGGGGAGCAGCCCAGAGCCUGAAUCAGUAUGUGUGUUAGUGGAAGCGUCUGGAAAGGCGCGCGAUACAGGGUGACAGCCCCGUACACAAAAAUGCACAUGCUGUGAGCUCGAUGAGUAGGGCGGGACACGUGGUAUCCUGUCUGAAUAUGGGGGGACCAUCCUCCAAGGCUAAAUACUCCUGACUGACCGAUAGUGAACCAGUACCGUGAGGGAAAGGCGAAAAGAACCCCGGCGAGGGGAGUGAAAAAGAACCUGAAACCGUGUACGUACAAGCAGUGGGAGCACGCUUAGGCGUGUGACUGCGUACCUUUUGUAUAAUGGGUCAGCGACUUAUAUUCUGUAGCAAGGUUAACCGAAUAGGGGAGCCGAAGGGAAACCGAGUCUUAACUGGGCGUUAAGUUGCAGGGUAUAGACCCGAAACCCGGUGAUCUAGCCAUGGGCAGGUUGAAGGUUGGGUAACACUAACUGGAGGACCGAACCGACUAAUGUUGAAAAAUUAGCGGAUGACUUGUGGCUGGGGGUGAAAGGCCAAUCAAACCGGGAGAUAGCUGGUUCUCCCCGAAAGCUAUUUAGGUAGCGCCUCGUGAAUUCAUCUCCGGGGGUAGAGCACUGUUUCGGCAAGGGGGUCAUCCCGACUUACCAACCCGAUGCAAACUGCGAAUACCGGAGAAUGUUAUCACGGGAGACACACGGCGGGUGCUAACGUCCGUCGUGAAGAGGGAAACAACCCAGACCGCCAGCUAAGGUCCCAAAGUCAUGGUUAAGUGGGAAACGAUGUGGGAAGGCCCAGACAGCCAGGAUGUUGGCUUAGAAGCAGCCAUCAUUUAAAGAAAGCGUAAUAGCUCACUGGUCGAGUCGGCCUGCGCGGAAGAUGUAACGGGGCUAAACCAUGCACCGAAGCUGCGGCAGCGACGCUGAUGCGUUGUUGGGUAGGGGAGCGUUCUGUAAGCCUGCGAAGGUGUGCUGUGAGGCAUGCUGGAGGUAUCAGAAGUGCGAAUGCUGACAUAAGUAACGAUAAAGCGGGUGAAAAGCCCGCUCGCCGGAAGACCAAGGGUUCCUGUCCAACGUUAAUCGGGGCAGGGUGAGUCGACCCCUAAGGCGAGGCCGAAAGGCGUAGUCGAUGGGAAACAGGUUAAUAUUCCUGUACUUGGUGUUACUGCGAAGGGGGGACGGAGAAGGCUAUGUUGGCCGGGCGACGGUUGUCCCGGUUUAAGCGUGUAGGCUGGUUUUCCAGGCAAAUCCGGAAAAUCAAGGCUGAGGCGUGAUGACGAGGCACUACGGUGCUGAAGCAACAAAUGCCCUGCUUCCAGGAAAAGCCUCUAAGCAUCAGGUAACAUCAAAUCGUACCCCAAACCGACACAGGUGGUCAGGUAGAGAAUACCAAGGCGCUUGAGAGAACUCGGGUGAAGGAACUAGGCAAAAUGGUGCCGUAACUUCGGGAGAAGGCACGCUGAUAUGUAGGUGAAGUCCCUCGCGGAUGGAGCUGAAAUCAGUCGAAGAUACCAGCUGGCUGCAACUGUUUAUUAAAAACACAGCACUGUGCAAACACGAAAGUGGACGUAUACGGUGUGACGCCUGCCCGGUGCCGGAAGGUUAAUUGAUGGGGUUAGCGCAAGCGAAGCUCUUGAUCGAAGCCCCGGUAAACGGCGGCCGUAACUAUAACGGUCCUAAGGUAGCGAAAUUCCUUGUCGGGUAAGUUCCGACCUGCACGAAUGGCGUAAUGAUGGCCAGGCUGUCUCCACCCGAGACUCAGUGAAAUUGAACUCGCUGUGAAGAUGCAGUGUACCCGCGGCAAGACGGAAAGACCCCGUGAACCUUUACUAUAGCUUGACACUGAACAUUGAGCCUUGAUGUGUAGGAUAGGUGGGAGGCUUUGAAGUGUGGACGCCAGUCUGCAUGGAGCCGACCUUGAAAUACCACCCUUUAAUGUUUGAUGUUCUAACGUUGACCCGUAAUCCGGGUUGCGGACAGUGUCUGGUGGGUAGUUUGACUGGGGCGGUCUCCUCCUAAAGAGUAACGGAGGAGCACGAAGGUUGGCUAAUCCUGGUCGGACAUCAGGAGGUUAGUGCAAUGGCAUAAGCCAGCUUGACUGCGAGCGUGACGGCGCGAGCAGGUGCGAAAGCAGGUCAUAGUGAUCCGGUGGUUCUGAAUGGAAGGGCCAUCGCUCAACGGAUAAAAGGUACUCCGGGGAUAACAGGCUGAUACCGCCCAAGAGUUCAUAUCGACGGCGGUGUUUGGCACCUCGAUGUCGGCUCAUCACAUCCUGGGGCUGAAGUAGGUCCCAAGGGUAUGGCUGUUCGCCAUUUAAAGUGGUACGCGAGCUGGGUUUAGAACGUCGUGAGACAGUUCGGUCCCUAUCUGCCGUGGGCGCUGGAGAACUGAGGGGGGCUGCUCCUAGUACGAGAGGACCGGAGUGGACGCAUCACUGGUGUUCGGGUUGUCAUGCCAAUGGCACUGCCCGGUAGCUAAAUGCGGAAGAGAUAAGUGCUGAAAGCAUCUAAGCACGAAACUUGCCCCGAGAUGAGUUCUCCCUGACUCCUUGAGAGUCCUGAAGGAACGUUGAAGACGACGACGUUGAUAGGCCGGGUGUGUAAGCGCAGCGAUGCGUUGAGCUAACCGGUACUAAUGAACCGUGAGGCUUAACCUU
rnacentral:rRNA from 1 species